rnacentral:rRNA from 1 species
CUAACACAUGCAAGUCGAACGGUAACAGGAAGAAGCUUGCUUCUUUGCUGACGAGUGGCGGACGGGUGAGUAAUGUCUGGGAAACUGCCUGAUGGAGGGGGAUAACUACUGGAAACGGUAGCUAAUACCGCAUAACGUCGCAAGACCAAAGAGGGGGACCUUCGGGCCUCUUGCCAUCGGAUGUGCCCAGAUGGGAUUAGCUAGUAGGUGGGGUAACGGCUCACCUAGGCGACGAUCCCUAGCUGGUCUGAGAGGAUGACCAGCCACACUGGAACUGAGACACGGUCCAGACUCCUACGGGAGGCAGCAGUGGGGAAUAUUGCACAAUGGGCGCAAGCCUGAUGCAGCCAUGCCGCGUGUAUGAAGAGGGCCUUCGGGUUGUAAAGUACUUUCAGCGGGGAGGAAGGGAGUAAAGUUAAUACCUUUGCUCAUUGACGUUACCCGCAGAAGAAGCACCGGCUAACUCCGUGCCAGCAGCCGCGGUAAUACGGAGGGUGCAAGCGUUAAUCGGAAUUACUGGGCGUAAAGCGCACGCAGGCGGUUUGUUAAGUCAGAUGUGAAAUCCCCGGGCUCAACCUGGGAACUGCAUCUGAUACUGGCAAGCUUGAGUCUCGUAGAGGGGGGUAGAAUUCCAGGUGUAGCGGUGAAAUGCGUAGAGAUCUGGAGGAAUACCGGUGGCGAAGGCGGCCCCCUGGACGAAGACUGACGCUCAGGUGCGAAAGCGUGGGG